UACGGGGGGGGCCAGCGUUGUUCGGAAUUACUGGGCGUAAAGGGCUCGUAGGCGGCCAACUAAGUCAGACGUGAAAUCCCUCGGCUUAACCGGGGAACUGCGUCUGAUACUGGAUGGCUUGAGUUUGGGAGAGGGAUGCGGAAUUCCAGGUGUAGCGGUGAAAUGCGUAGAUAUCUGGAGGAACACCGGUGGCGAAGGCGGCAUCCUGGACCAACACUGACGCUGAGUGAGCGAAAGCCAGGGGAGCAAACGGG
rnacentral:rRNA from 1 species